CCGAGGAGUCCUGGCCGUUCGCGAGUCGUAGGGGCUCGUCGAACCCUGAAGGCACAGCGAAAGCGAAAGAGCACAGUGUGAUGUGACCGUGUGUAUGUGUGCUGGUGUCGUUUGUGCGAUAACUUCUUAUAUAUAUCACCCAUAUCUCGCGUUGCCCGCCGGUGAGAUCUGUAUUUUCAUCUUCGGUGGUUCGCAUCUUUGCGCGCGCCGCAAGAGACCAUUUCCAGCGCAUCACCCCCGGGUCGGAUACAGAUGCGUUCGGCGUUUUGCGCGUCAGACAAGUCUGCCGACUCAGGUGUAGCGAAUGACCAGGGACCCGAAAGAUGGCGAUCCACGCCCGGUCGGGACGAAGCCAGAGGAAACUCUGGUGGAAGUCCGAAGCGCCUCUGACGUGCAAAUCGAUCGUCGGAACCGGGUGUAGGGGCGAAAGACCAAUCGAGCCAUCUA
rnacentral:rRNA from 1 species